CAGAGCUGUGUAUCCAUAGGGGAGACAGUCAUUCCCCCCCUCCAGCAGCAGAGCUGUGUAUCCAAAGGGGAGACAGUCGGUCUCCCCUUCCAACAACCAGGCUACUUCCGUGGUAGCGCUGGCACCAGGGCAGAGUACCGCUGGUCUCUGCCCACUCAGCAACCCACCAAGGCAGCUUACCAGUACCCAGCACAGCCAUGGUGAGGCACCUGGACAUGGACAAGUUUCUCCUCUACCCAGAUGUAGUAACCAGUUAUUGUGGGUGGGCUGUACUGCUGAUUGUGUUUUGUGGGUGGGCUGCUGGACUAACCAGGGCACUGAUCAGCAGGAGGUCAGAUACCCUGUUAGUCUGUUUGGAAAAGGGGAGAGAUGUGACAAGACCAAUCUCGCCACUGUGCAUUGGAGGAGCCUGGUUGCCCGCCUGCUGCCUUUAGACUAUGGCCCCAUGUUGAAACGCUUGAUUUUCCCCUGCAAAGACAUGAAAGCUGGGUCAUUCGGUGCUUGCCCUGUUUGAGCGGUGAUACCCCAGGUAGCUAUGGCAUUGAGCCCAUUCGUAUAAUGAAAGACUAUGAGAAAGACUUUGGUUCCAUGGCAAUUGAACUGUAUGUGUAUGUUCUGAGCGC